rnacentral:rRNA from 1 species
CCAAUAGCGUAUAUUUAAGUUGUUGCAGUUAAAAAGCUCGUAGUCGGAUUUUGGCUGAGAACGAUCGGUCCGCCGUUAGGUGUGCACUGAUUGGUCUCAGCUUCCUGGUGAGGAGGUGUGCUUCACGGCCACUUAGUCACCGUGGUUACUUUGAAAAAAUUAGAGUGUUCAAAGCGGGCUUACGCUUGAAUAUAUUAGCAUGGAAUAACACCAUAGGACUCCUGUCCUAUUUCGUUGGUCUCGGGACGGGAGUAAUGAUUAAGAGGAACAGUUGGGGGCAUUCGUAUUUCAUUGUCAGAGGUGAAAUUCUUGGAUUUAUGAAAGACGAACUUCUGCGAAAGCAUUUGCCAAGGAUGUUUUCAUUGA